rnacentral:rRNA from 1 species
ACGGGUGAGUAAUACAUCGGAACGUGCCCUGUAGUGGGGGAUAACUAGUCGAAAGAUUAGCUAAUACCGCAUACGACCUGAGGGUGAAAGUGGGGGACCGCAAGGCCUCAUGCUAUAGGAGCGGCCGAUGUCUGAUUAGCUAGUUGGUGGGGUAAAGGCCCACCAAGGCGACGAUCAGUAGCUGGUCUGAGAGGACGAUCAGCCACACUGGGACUGAGACACGGCCCAGACUCCUACGGGAGGCAGCAGUGGGGAAUUUUGGACAAUGGGGGCAACCCUGAUCCAGCAAUGCCGCGUGUGUGAAGAAGGCCUUCGGGUUGUAAAGCACUUUUGUCCGGAAAGAAAUCGCACUUACUAAUAUUAGGUGUGGAUGACGGUACCGGAAGAAUAAGGACCGGCUAACUACGUGCCAGCAGCCGCGGUAAUACGUAGGGUCCAAGCGUUAAUCGGAAUUACUGGGCGUAAAGCGUGCGCAGGCGGUUGUGCAAGACCGAUGUGAGAUCCCCGGGCUUAACCUGGGAAUUGCAUUGGUGACUGCACGGCUAGAGUGUGUCAGAGGGGGGUAGAAUUCCACG